rnacentral:rRNA from 1 species
CCUACGGGAGGCAGCAGUAAGGAAUAUUGGUCAAUGGAGGCAACUCUGAACCAGCCAUGCCGCGUGCAGGAAGACUGCCCUAUGGGUUGUAAACUGCUUUUAUCCGGGAAUAAACCUGCUUACGUGUAAGUAGCUGAAUGUACCGGAAGAAUAAGGAUCGGCUAACUCCGUGCCAGCAGCCGCGGUAAUACGGAGGAUCCAAGCGUUAUCCGGAUUUAUUGGGUUUAAAGGGUGCGUAGGCGGCCUGUUAAGUCAGGGGUGAAAGACGGUAGCUCAACUAUCGCAGUGCCCUUGAUACUGAUGGGCUUGAAUGGACUAGAGGUAGGCGGAAUGAGACAAGUAGCGGUGAAAUGCAUAGAUAUGUCUCAGAACACCGAUUGCGAAGGCAGCUUACUAUGGUCUUAUUGACGCUGAGGCACGAAAGCGUGGGGAUCAAACAGGAUUAGAUACCCUGGUAGUCCACGCCCUAAACGAUGAACACUCGCUGUUGGCGAUACACAGUCAGCGUCAAGCGAAAGCGUUAAGUGUUACCACCUGGGGAGUACGCCCGCAAGGGUGAAACGUCAAAGAGAGUAGACGGACGAGAGACGNGCGACGGACGACGACGAGGGAGGAGG